rnacentral:lncRNA from 1 species
UAAAGGUAACUUGCCUUUUUAGUUCCUAAUAGUCAGAUGGUGAUGAACAGUACUCAAUAUGUUGUACCCAAAGAGCCACUCUCAGGGAGCUUCAUUUCCACUUGGACAGGAUUUAAAGGGUUGAGAUGUUUGCAGGAUCCUGGGAGGCAUAAAUGCAUUUUGCACGCUAGAGGGAUGUCAAUAAUUGGUGUCCAGAGGCAGAUUGGAUCUGGACUCUCUAACUGCUUGACCAAUGGCAUAUGGUGAAGUGACAUUGUGCCAUUUUUCAGGCCUUAAUGGAAAACCAAACAUUGCAUGUUCUCAUUCAUAAGUAGGAACUGAGCUAUGAGAAUGCAAAGGCAUGAGAAUGAUACGAAGGACCUCCUUUUCACUUGAUGACCUCUGUAAAGAUCCUACUAAGUAAGGCCAUUUGGAGCUUCUGGGGGUAGGACUCCAACAUAUCUUAUUCUGGAACAUACAAUUCAACCCAUAACCAUAGCCAAGCAUGGAUUUGUGUUCUGUUCUGUCCCUCAUUGACCGCAUGGCCUGAUUUUGACACUUAGCUUCUGUUCUAUAACUAAAAAAUGAUAGAAUUGGAUCAUGCCAUCUGUGAGAUUUUCUCUCUCAAAU